rnacentral:lncRNA from 1 species
AAAAAAGCUAGAGAGCAAACACAGCCUACAGCUUUCAAGGAGAAACACUUGUGGCCUCUUUCUUAAUCAACUUCACGGUGACUUAAAAAUAUUUAUGUUAUGUCAAUUGAUACAAUGAUUGGGAUAUAUUCUAUUUUCUUAAAUAUUCAAGUUUCCAAAAAGGAUCUGAAUCAUUCACAUAUGGGAAAGGGAGAGGGACAUUGCAGAUUCUCUAUUGGGAGGAAAUGAAACAAUGAGAGGAACACUGGUUCUAAACACUUUCUGUGACUGAUACGAGGUGUCCCUGGAUUUCUCUACCUGUACUUGCUGCCUGUGAGUGAGUCCUUUCUUUCCUUCUAACCUAAUAAAGUUGGCCUUUUUU